UAACACGUAAACAACCUGCCUUCAGGAUGGGGACAACAGACGGAAACGACUGCUAAUAACCGAAUAAGUUCCAAGAGCCGCAUGGCCCAUGGAAGAAAAGGUGGCCUCUACCUGUAAGCUAUCGCCUGAAGAGGGGUUUGCGUCUGAUUAGCUGGUUGGAGGGGUAACGGCCCACCAAGGCGACGAUCAGUAGCCGGUCUGAGAGGAUGAACGGCCACACUGGAACUGAGACACGGUCCAGACUCCUACGGGAGGCAGCAUG
rnacentral:rRNA from 1 species